UGAGCAUGUAACAGGUGCACGUGGACCAGUGCCUGUGGGGGUGUGCCCGUAGACCUAGGGUGAAGCACUUCAGAACCUGCCCUGUUCACUGGGAGCUCUGGUCUGCAGGUGGAGAAGCUGAAGCAUAGAAAGUAAAACCCUGGAAGAGGAGAAAAUGCAGGCUGGAACCCAAAUAGCCUCUUCCUAGUCCAAGAGACCUACCAACACAUUCAAUGGAUUGUCCGGAACUGAUGCUGCCAAGUGGCUCAGGGAAAGCAAAAAUGACAGCCUCUCCCCAACGGGAGGAAUAGGUAUCGUGCUGAGCAGGACUAAGUGUCACAGGACCAGUCAUGAAAAUAAAAGUGAGAUGUAAUUCUUCCUUCGGAGCCCCAAGAAGGAAGCAAGGAAGCGCACCGUUGGAACUCAGCUGGCCACGAAGGCAACCCGGGCUGGAGGUCAGAGCCCAGCCCAGGGGACUUGAGCCAGGGAUCUUUGGAAGCCAGGACUUCUUGCCUUCUCUGGAGAAUAUCAAUGACAGAGCUGAUCUCGUCCUCAGGAACCUGGAGGGAGUACACAGCAUGAAACACUAGGCUGACUCCCUAAACCAGCUGUGAUGUCGCCCUUCCCCCACCACUGGGAUCUCAGUGUGCUUGCUGGAACCUCUACCCCAGCCCAGGUCCUCACCAGGGCAUGGUCAAAGUUGAACGUGCUGAUGUAAUACGCAGAGAUGUCAGCAGCCGCCAGGGGGCCCGCGAUCUGGGCCACAAUCCCACAUUCAUCUGAGGGUUGGAGACACGGGGGGAUUACCUUAGAUGCUGUGAAGACCCACAGAGUUGCCCUUUCCCCCGGUCCAGGGAGUGAGUGGUCCUCACCGAAGCCUAGGGGCUGUCCCCCGAUGCGCACCAUCCUCCAUAGCUCCCCAGAGGAACUGGUCAGCAGGAGAUCACUGGGGAACCUGGGCAAGCAGGUGGGUGAUGGGAAGGGCACCCCACGCACCCCUAUCUACCCUGGUCCCUAGGGCAUGUCCUGCUAACCUCAGAACCCGGCACCCCUCCUCCACCUUCCCUGAGGUUGAUUGAGGGUCUAGGGUCUAUGGAGAAUUGAGGAGUUACAUACUUUUUCUGGGUCUCUGCAUCCAUGACAAUGGAGAUGUAACCCUCAAUGAGGGAGAAAGCGAAGAACGGAAUGGAAGUUGGCUCAGAACCACCUGAGGCUGCCUCUCUGGGGACACUGAAGAGGGAUGACAGGGUUAUGGGCUCUGUCAGGCACAUGGCCCUCUCCACUUCCCAACAAGCAGACCACAGAGGAGAGGCUGGAAUGGACAGCUCUGGGAAGGCCCUUGAAUCUCUACUUCAUUGUGAGAGACCCCUGAUUUUCUGAGGGAUGAGCCCUAGCUGCCAGACAGUUAGGGCUCUGCUUGUGGACAAGGCUGGAUGGACGUAUAUGGCUGGAAAGUAGCUCUGCUGACACCUCUGGCUGAGAACUAACAGUCUGUCAGGAACCUUAAGGCACUGAGCAGGACACAGAAUGACAGAAGGGAUGAGACAAAGGUCAGAGGGCAGGAAACACUAGUGGGAGGCAGAGAUCGAGUGCACAUUCAUGGCCCACCUGUGCGAGUAGAAGAGGACAUCGAUGAGGGUGGUGGCGACAGCCGGCAGUGUCUCAGGGUCCAGUGUGAGGACACAAAAGCGGUUCUGCGGGCUCUGAAUGGGAUGCACCAUGGGACUGGGCCCUGCUCAGGAUACGGGACAACAAAGUGAAAAGGUUAUCUUGGACUGGGGCGACCCCUAGUGGCAGGAUAGGGCAGGGCUACUCCAUCUCAUACAUUGAGAGUGUUUUGCACCCUUUUAAAAGACAAGCCCUCCUGUAGGAAGAGGUCCCAUUUAAAUUUGGAUGUUGGCAGGCAGACCUCACCGUGCUGGGUUUGGGGAAAGCCAUUGCUGGAAUCGUCCUCGGUAACAGGCACAGGCUCCCCGCCUACUUCGCGGUAGAUUUGGAACUCCUGGGCCAGUGUGUGGAUCACCACAGACAGGUCCUGCUCCCGUACCUGGGUCAAGGCAAAUGGCACAUAUUAUGCAACAGCAGGCACCUCUGCUUAUGCCCUGCAUCAGCUCCUUCCCAAACCCACCAGGAUGAAGUCUGUCUGGUAUGUGGACAACAUCAGAACAGACACAUGGUGUUCAGCCAGCGGGGCAAUCACAGACCGGGCAAUCUUGGUUACUCCAGCAGCCUGCACCACCGAGCCACUGUGAGAUACGCUCAUCACCAGCCAUGUGGCCUCAGCCACUUGCAGGAACUCAGAUGGGGGUAGCUCUGUGGGCGGGAGGUACAUGUUUGGUUAGUCGGCUCCUCUCUGCCUCUCAGUUUCUGUGUCUAAACCUUGCCCGGUUCCGAGGUAGAUCGGAUCUGUUUCCUGACAGACUUGGAGCUCGGGACUGUUUCCUAUCAUUUCUGCCUCAGUGUGCGUCAUGCAGGCGUUCUCAGUGAGCACAACUGCUCCAAACUCAGAGCCAGAUUCAAGGCCCAGAUUUAAAAAAAAUUUUUUUUCUUGCUGUGUGACAUGGGACAAGUGUGUUUUGAGGGGGUGGGGGUUGAUUGUUUGUUUGCUUUGAGACAGUCUUACAAUGUAUAUUAAGCUGGGAUUUAACUCAAACGGACCCUAUU